AUUUCAGAACCGCUGGGAACCGCCGGAACAGCCAGAACCGGAUGGUACCCGGAACCGUAUGGUAACGGUUCCGGCUCCGAAACCGCCAGAACCGGAACCGCCAGAACCGUCAGAACCGGAACCGUCAGAACCGGAACCGCAGACCCAAAUAGACCCAGAACCGGAACCGGAUACAGCCUUACUAGAGAUGAAAUGAAGAAUGGAAUCAGGGAAAUGAAUUAAAGCCUCAUGUGAGAAGCACAUAAAAAUUGACGGCUGAGAUACGUCAGUAAAAUAAAUGGCUUAGAUUCAUUAUUAGCGCUCUAAUGGAUUUGGGGCAGCUGAAGGAGUUUAUAACUGAAACUGGGCCUAACGAAUGGGCAGUUAUGAUCUGGCAAAUUUUGUUAUUUCUCCCUUCAUUUUUCUCUCUAACCUUCUGAUUCUCUUCUCCUUCUCUCAAACAACCGCCAUUGAUUCCAUAGGUGAUAGCUUGGAAUUCAAUGGAGAUCAGAAGCCUUUUUGGAUUAAGCUUUUGUUGUUAGAGUGAAUUUACAUUCUCGAUCGUUGGUUCACUUGUAAUAUUUGGCAAUGUAACAAAAAUUGCCAUUUCAGUCCCAAAUUUGUAGUUCAAUUCAUUAGUAUAUUACAAUUGGUAUCAGAGCUUAUUCCUGACCAGUACAACAUGACAGGAGCAGAAACAAGAUCUAAAGCUACAGACGAGUCUCUAAAGAAAUUAAAUACAACAGUAUAUGACUAAAAUGAUAAAAAAUUAGAAAAGCUGGGAAAAAAAAUAGAACUGUUAGUGGAAAAGCUGCUUCCUCCACAUGAUGGCUUUAUGGGCAGUGCGCUGAUGGAGAACCUCUCAAAUGUUAGGCCAAUCUCCAAGCCAUGGGUGGGACAGAACAGAGAUAUCUCAGGAGGAAGGAACAAUGUCCAUUCAUCUCAAUCGCAAGUGGAAAUGCCCUACUUUGAUGGAGUUGACCCUUGCGCAUGGUUGAGGAAGUGUGAAAGGUUUUUCCAGCAUAACCACAUCACUGAUCCACAACAAAAGCUUGUGGAGGCAGUCCUUCAUCUCAAUGGUAAGGCUAAAUCCUGGUUCUUUUCCUAUCACAUAAGUAAAGGAGUAGUUAGGUGGCCAGAUUUUACUACUGCAACAUGUAGUAGGUUUGAGGGUGCAUCUAACAGCAAAUUAAACCUAAUUGGGGAACUUAAAAAAAUAGAGCAAACAGGGUCUGUAGAUGAGUAUUUGGAGAAAUUUGAAGAACUCAAAGCUUGGGUGUUAAUAAGGAAUCCUACUAUACAAGAAUAAUUCUUCCUAGAACUUUUCAUAGAAAGAUUAAAAGAAAAAAUUAGGCAUAUAGGUAAGAUGUUGGACCCCUAUUCAUUCAUCAAGGCAGAAGAGAAAGCCAGGCAUAAGGAGAACCUAUUGAAAGUCGUCACUGAGGCUGGAAAAUUAUAGGGGAACAAGGGACCAACUACAGGUUACUAUACUCAACCUAAUAGAAGUUCAUCUGGGGGUUCCAGUUAUUCUAACAACAAACUGUUUGAGAGUAGAAAGGCUCAAGAUUUGUGUUAUAAGUGUGGAGAAAAGGACCAUCUUGGGCAUCAAUGUAAACCUAGAAAACUUAAUGCUAUAUCAGCUGCUACUGAAGAGGAAUUAGAGGAGGCCCUGCAUCAAGAAGAAACAGUGAUAAUACCAGAAGAAGAGAUAGUGGAUGAGGCAAUAAGCCUAAAUGCACUAUUUGGCACUGAAGUUCCCAGCACCAUUAAAUUGAGAGGUGAAGCCAAAAAGAAUUCCCUAACUAUUUUACUAGAUUCAGAAAGCACACAGUUUUUUGUAUAUCGAAGCACUAAGGAAAAUAGGUUGCCUUAUAUUAGAAGUUGUGCCUAUGAGAGUGAUAGUAGGAAAUGGCAACUACUUAAUGAGUUUGCACAUUUGUCACAAAUUCAAAUGGAAGAUACAAGGAGUUGACUUUGAGGAUGCAGUCAAAAUAACUAAGCAGGGUGGCAAUGGCAUGCUACUUGGGGGUGAUUGGAUGAAAAGGCAAAAUCCAGUCCUACUUGACUUUGUGGAGUAUAAGGUGCAAGUAACUCACAAAGGGAAGAUGGUAGAACUUAAAGGGAUUUACAACCAAACAGAACUUAAGGGCUUAUCAACCAAUGGAGUGAGACAAACGGGCAGACCAUAUGGUCUCACAUAUUCACAAUUUCAGCAGAAGAAGUAAAGGAAUCAAGCUCAUGCCUGCAUCUAUUGACAAGGUGCUAGAAGCAGUUUCCAGAUGCCUUCACGGAACCAACAUCAUUGCCUCCCAAAAGGGGUCAUGACCAUUACAUUUCCCUGAAAUCAAAUGCAAUUCCUGUAAGUAUAGACCCUAUAGAUACAGUUUUUUUCCAAAAAAAUGAAAUAGAGAAACAGGUGAGUGAAAUGCUCAACAAUGGUAUUAUAUAGCCAAGCCAUUCCCCAUUUUCGUCCCCUGUUUUAUUAGUCAAGAAUAAAGAUGGAAGUUGGAGGUUUUGUAUUGACUACAGAGCUCUAAACAAUAUGACUAUAAAAGACAAGUUUCCUAUACCCUUAGUUGAUGAUUUAAUGGAUGAGUUAUGUGAAUCAUGCAUAUACUCCAAAAUAGACUUAAGGGCUGAGUAUCAUCAGAUAAGGGUAGGGGGAAAAGGACAUUUAUAAGACUACUUUUAAAACACAUUUGGGAUUUUAUGAAUUUAGGGUAAUUCCCUUUGGACUAACUAAUGCUCCUACAACCUUUAAGUCACUUAUGAACCAUGUUUUUAAGAAUUAUCUUAGAAAAUUUGUGUCGGUGUUCUUUGAUGAUAUUCUAGUGUACAUCUCUACUAUGGAAGACCAUGUUCUACAUUUGAUAAAGGUACUGGAGAUAUUAAGGAAGGAUCAACUUUUUGCUAAAUUGUCCAAGUGUUCUUUUUGCUAGACCAAGGUAGAAUAUCUGGAGCACAUAAUAACAAGAAAAGGAGUAGCCACAGAUCCUUCAAAGAUUGAGGCUAUAGCUUCUUGGCCUACUCCUAAAAUCAUUAAGGCCCUUAGGGGAUUUCUGGGCUUGAAAGGAUACUAUAGGAGAUUCAUCAGGUCUUACGGGGGUUUAAGCAGACCCUUAGCCAAUUUGUUAAAGAAGAUUAGCUUUCACUGGGAUCCAGAGGCCGAGAGCUCAUUUCAAGCUGUUAAACAGGCCAUGUCCAGUGCACCUAUGCUAGCAUUGGCAGAUUUCAACAAGCCUUUCAUAAUUGAGAUUGAUGCUUGCUCCAAAGCAAUGUGGGCAGUACUAAUGCAAGAGGGCAGACCUAUUGCUUUUUUCCAAUAAAGCUUUAGCUCCUAGACACUUGGGAUUAUCUACAUAUGAGAAAGAAUUCAUGGCCUUACUAUCAGCUGUGGGUUAAUGGAGACAUUAUCUCCAAGGAGUCCAUUUUACAAUGAGAACAGUCCAUCACAGCUUAAAGCAAAGAGUAACCACUGCUCUACAACAGAAGGGUCUGACCAAAUUAUAAGGACUUGAUUAUGAAGUCUAAUAUAAAAGAGGUGUUGAAAAUAAGGACCAAAUUAUCCAGGAGACAGGAGGAAGAAUCAUCAUUAUUUGCCUUAUCUUCUAUUGAUCCUACUUGGAUGAGUGAGGUAGAGCACGGUUAUAAGCAUGAUUCUGAUGCUCACAAAUUGAUCACUAAACCGAUAAAUAAUACUCAUAACAGUUCCAAUUAUACCUUACUACCAGGAAUUUUGAGGUAUGACCAGAAAAUCUACAUUGGAAAGGGAACAGACCUCAUAUCUAAGAUUUUUAAAGCAAUGCACCAGUCUCCCAUGGGUGGACACUCUGAACAGCAGAGUACUUCCAAAAGGAUGAAGAUGAUUUUCUAUUGGCCUAAUAUGAGAAUUAAUGUCCAUAAAUGGGUUUCAAAAUGUGAUACUUGCCAAAGGGUGAAGACUAAAAAUAUACAUACACAUGGGUUGCUAAAACCUAUACCAAUUCCUGAGUUACCUUGGCAGGACAUAGCCAUGGACUGUGUGGAAGGGUUACCUUCUUCAGAACACAGGAAUGCUAUACUAGUGGUGGUGGACAGCCUUACAAAGUAUGGCCAUUUCCUAGCUCUCAAACAUCCCUUCACUGCACAAGGUGUGGCUGAUCUAUUUUUGAGAGACAUCUACAAACUACAUGGGUUACCUAAGUCAAUUAUUUCAGAUAGAGACAGUGUGUUCACUACCCAGUUUUGGCAGAGACUAUUCAAGUCCAUGGGGGUCAAGCUGAACAUGUCCACCUCUUACCAUGCUCAAGCAGAUGGGAAGACGGAGAAAUUAAACAUAUGUUUGGAAGCAUAUCUUAGGGCUAUGGUGUUUACUAAUCCUAAAUAGUGGGUGAAAUGGUUACCAUUAGCAGAAUGGUGGUACAACACUAAUCAUCAUAGUUCCUUAAAGACCACACCUUUUCAGGCUUUGUAUGAUUUUUCCCCACCUCAGAUUCCCUUGGGGUCACUACGGCAACCAUCUUACACACCCGCGGGUACUUGGAUAGCACAAAGACAGCAGAUGUUGUAGAUCCUUAAAGACAAUCUCAUUCAAGCUCAAGCAAGACUGACGUUUUAUGCUGACAAUAACAGAUGUGGCAGAGUUUUAGAUGUGGGUGAUUGGGUUUACCUAAAGCUUCAACCUUAUAUGCAUGCUUCAGUCGCAGUAAGAAAGAAUUUUAAGCUAUGUGCUAAGGUCUAUGGUCCUUGCAAGAUCCUACAAAGAAUAGGGUCAGUAGCUUACCGAUUGGAGCUACCGCCGGGAUCUCAAAUCAACCUUGUGUUCCAUUUCUCUUAGUUGAAGAAGCGUGUAGGUCCUGACAUCAUUCCAUAGCCAUAACCACCGAUUUGUGAUGGGGAUGGUUGUAUCUUAGUCCAAUUAGUAGCAAUCUUACAAAGGAAGAUGGUGAAGGUGAGUAAUGGAGUGGGUAGUUCAAUGGGCCAAUUUGAAGGCGGAGGAUGCAGCUUGAAAAGAUUGGGGAUAUCUCAAAAGCAAGUUUCCAGAAUUUGUGGCUAGUCUCUAACCUUGAGGACAAGAUCAUUAUAUUCAUCGGAGGGGUAUUGUUAGAUGUCGGCUAGAGAUGAAAUGAAGAAGGGAAUUAGGGAAAUGAAAUAAAGAAGCACAUGAUAGAGUGGACGACUGAGAUACUUCAGCAAAAUAAAGGACCUAGAUUGUUAUUAGCUCUCUAAUGGACUUGGGCCAGCUGAAGGAGUUUAUAACCGAAACUGGGCCUAACGAAUGGGUAGUUAUGAUCUGGUAAAUUAUGUUAUUUCUCCCUUCAUUUCUCUCUCUCUAACCUUCUCAUUCUCUUCUCCUACUCUGUAACAACCGCCAUUGAUUCUACAGGUGAUAGCUUCGAAUUCAAUGGAGAUUAGAAGCCUUUUGGAUUAAGCUUUUGUUCUUAAACUGAAUUUAUAUUAUCAAUCGUUGGUUCACU
rnacentral:lncRNA from 1 species